AUUGAACGCUGGCGGCAUGCCUUACACAUGCAAGUCGAACGGUAACAGGUCUUCGGAUGCUGACGAGUGGCGAACGGGUGAGUAAUACAUCGGAACGUGCCCGAUCGUGGGGGAUAACGCAGCGAAAGCUGUGCUAAUACCGCAUACGAUCUACGGAUGAAAGCGGGGGAUCGCAAGACCUCGCGCGGACGGAGCGGCCGAUGGCAGAUUAGGUAGUUGGUGGGAUAAAAGCUUACCAAGCCGACGAUCUGUAGCUGGUCUGAGAGGACGACCAGCCACACUGGGACUGAGACACGGCCCAGACUCCUACGGGAGGCAGCAGUGGGGAAUUUUGGACAAUGGGCGCAAGCCUGAUCCAGCCAUGCCGCGUGCAGGAUGAAGGCCUC
rnacentral:rRNA from 1 species